rnacentral:rRNA from 1 species
CAGCCGCCGCGGUAAUACAGAGGGUGCGAGCGUUAAUCGGAUUUACUGGGCGUAAAGCGUGCGUAGGCGGCUUCUUAAGUCGGAUGUGAAAUCCCUGAGCUUAACUUAGGAAUUGCAUUCGAUACUGGGAAGCUAGAGUAUGGGAGAGGAUGGUAGAAUUCCAGGUGUAGCGGUGAAAUGCGUAGAGAUCUGGAGGAAUACCGAUGGCGAAGGCAGCCAUCUGGCCUAAUACUGACGCUGAGGUGCGAAAGCGUGGGGAGCAAACGGGAUUAGAUACCCCUGUAGUCCCUGUCUCUUAUAC